rnacentral:rRNA from 1 species
GGUAGUAGUUUUCGGACUGCUAUCGAGUGGCGGACGGGUGAGUAACACGUGGAUGACCUGCCCAGAGAUGGGGGAUACCGCGCAGAAAUGCGCGCUAAGACCGCAUGAGCUGGUUUGCGGCGACGCGAAUCAGGAAAGCUUUUUGGAGCGUCUUUGGAGGGGUCCGCGGCCGAUUAGCUAGUUGGUGGGGUAAGAGCCUACCAAGGCGUCGAUCGGUAGCUGGUCUGAGAGGAUGAUCAGCCACACUGGGAUUGAGAACGGCCCAGACUCCUACGGGGGGCAGCAGUGAGGAAUCUUCGGCAAUGGGCGCAAGCCUGACCGAGCAACGCCGCGUGGAGGAUGACGGCCUUCGGGUUGUAAACUCCUUUUCUUUGGAACGAGAACGGACGGUACCAGAGGAAGAAGUCUCGGCUAACUACGUGCCAGC